CUGAGCCCCUCAAAGGAGAGCUCCCCACAGGAAGGAAAAGUCAGCCUAAGAGGGAGCGAAAUCCAUGAAGCUGAGUUGCCAGAAUCCCUCCACAGGCCACCCAAGCAGCGAAGAAAUUCAUGGAGAGAAAGAAAGAAAAGACCCACAGCCUGUUAUUUGGGAGGACAGCAAGAAGAGGAUAGCUGGCAAGAUUACAUCCUACCACAUAGGCCAGUCUGGAGAUGAAAAGGACCCUAAGAAAUGAAUUGUACAAAGAUUAACAAACGCGAACCCUUUGCUGGAGUUUACAUUGUAAUACAGACCCUUCAUGAUGUGGCCAGGCAUGUCAAGGCCAUACAGACAAGAGAAGACAAACAUUCAGCCUAGAUAUGGAGAGGCAGCUGAAUAUUUACAUUACCCAACAGAGCAAAGGUGAGUGCAUUUUGGGAUAGACGGAGGGCAGGCUGUCCACACGGUGUGAUUUGACUAAAUAUUGUUGGUGAUUCAUUUCUCAAAAAUAUAUCAACUCCAUUGCUUGUCAUAUGUUCUGAAAUUUUAGCUCUUUCUUUUG
rnacentral:lncRNA from 1 species